AUCACUCAAGAGCCACAAAAUCUGCUUUAUAACACAUCGAAAGUGGUUGCUACAGUGUAUCAUCCUUCUGCCUCAGGAGGUAGCAUGAAGAAGCUCCAAAAGUGCUCCAGGGGAACGAUGUCUCUAAAUGCUCCAGCGCGAAGUACCGGCACCAUUAAUAGAGUAAAUUGCAAGUACAACACAGCAGUCAUCCGAACGGACGGAGAGCACUCCCUCUUGAGUGAGCCUCGGAUUUUAAGCCCUGAAAGAGCAGCUUGACACCCUGUGACCUGCCUGAGACUGAUGUUCUUCGGGACAGCGGCUGGUUUUACCUCGUGUCUUGUGCUUUGAAAGAGCAUCUCUGGGGCUUUGGUAAUCACAGCAAUACCCCAGCUAAUGACAAUUCUUACUCCUCUAUAAUAUCUGACAU